CACGUAGGGCGCAAGCGUUGUCCGGAAUUAUUGGGCGUAAAGAGCUCGUAGGCGGUCUGUUGCGUCCGCUGUGAAAACUCGGGGCUUAACCCCGAGCCUGCAGUGGAUACGGGCAGACUAGAGGUAGGUAGGGGAGAAUGGAAUUCCCGGUGUAGCGGUGAAAUGCGCAGAUAUCAGGAGGAACACCAAUGGCGAAGGCAGCUCGCUGGAACGGUACUGACGCUGAGGCGCGAAAGCGUGGGGAGCGAACAGG
rnacentral:rRNA from 1 species